CCCAAACAUGCACUAAGCGUGAGGGAGGCUAUGGAACGACCUAACGGUAGAAAGAUCGUGCUCAGGUUCAACAAUGCAAAGCAAGCAAUUGGAAACGAAGUUGGACUGUUGAGUAGUGUGCUUGGUCUGCUAGGAUCUGACUUUGGAAAUUUUCCUAUCUGUGAGGAAAGUUGGCGUAAGAUUACCACUAAGGACAAAGUUUAUAACAAAUAUGUCAAGCAAAUUUUCCACUUUGAUGAAGAUAGCGAAUGAACUAUCAAGAAAAAUAUUUUGAAAAUUAUGGGGAAGUCUUGGAAGAAAACAAGGCUGAGGUUGUAUAAUGCUUAUUUCGAGCCAACGUUCACGACUGAACAAAAUAUUGAGAACCGUCUGCCAGGAAUCGAUCGAGAGCAUUGGAGAUGGUUCCUUGACUAUCGCGCCAAAGUUGAGACGAAGGAGAAGUGCA